AUUGAACGCUGGCGGCAGGCCUAACACAUGCAAGUCGAACGAGUGGCGGACGGGUGAGUAAUGUCUGGGAAACUGCCUGAUGGAGGGGGAUAACUACUGGAAACGGUAGCUAAUACCGCAUACCAUCAGAUGUUCCCAGGUGGGAUUAGCUGGUUGGUGGGGUAACGGCUCACCAAGGCGACGAUCCCUAGCUGGUCUGAGAGGAUGACCAGCCACACUGGAACUGAGACACGGUCCAGACUCCGACGGGAGGAGACGGUGGGGAAUAUUGGACAAUGGGCGCAAGCCUAAUGCGGCCAUGCCGCGUGUGUGAAGAAGGCGUUCGGGUUGUAAAGUACUUUCAGCGGGGAGACGUUACCCGCAUAAGAAGCACCGGCUAACUCCGUGCCAGCAGCCGCGGUAAUAC
rnacentral:rRNA from 1 species